CAUGUCUCCACCUCUGUUCACGUCUGCUGCUGCAUUCUGUCUGUAUUUUUCAUAUCUAGCAGUGGCUGUUAAAUUUCAGCAGUCUCCCUCCAUGAUAGUGAACCAAGGUGUUAGCGUGUCUAUAAAGUGCAGCCAUGAUGACAGUUCCCUCACUGUUAUGCUCUGGUACCAGCACCGGCCGGACACUCAGUCUAUGAUGUUGAUUGGAUACUAUUAUGCAGGAAGUGACAACUAUGAGAAAGAACUUGGAAAGCAGUUUAAGAUAGAGAGAUCCUCAGUGGAGACCGGCUCUCUCACAUUGCUCAGUACAAGCCCCUCACACUCGGCUGUGUACUUCUGUGCAGCCAGUAUCACAGUGAUGAAGUAUAGAGCCACUCCCAGCUAAAAACCUA